rnacentral:rRNA from 1 species
UACGUAGGCAGCAAGCGUUGUUCGGAGUUACUGGGCGUAAAGCGUGCGCAGGCGGUUUCUUAAGUCAGAUGUGAAAGCCCCGGGCUUAACCUGGGAACUGCGUUUGAAACUGGGAGACUUGAGUGUGGCAGAGGGGGGUGGAAUUCCACGUGUAGCAGUGAAAUGCGUUGAUAUGUGGAGGAACACCGAUGGCGAAGGCAGCCCCCUGGGUUAACACUGACGCUCAUGCACGAAAGCGUGGGGAGCAAACAGG